CCUACGGGUGGCUGCAGUGGGGAAUAUUGGACAAUGGGGGGAACCCUGAUCCAGCCAUGCCGCGUGUGUGAAGAAGGCCCUCGGGUUGUAAAGCACUUUCAGUGAGGAAGAACGCCUGGUGGUUAAUACCCAUCAGGAAAGACAUCACUCACAGAAGAAGCACCGGCUAACUCCGUGCCAGCAGCCGCGGUAAUACGGAGGGUGCGAGCGUUAAUCGGAAUUACUGGGCGUAAAGCGCGCGUAGGUGGCUUGAUAAGCCGGUUGUGAAAGCCCCGGGCUCAACCUGGGAACGGCAUCCGGAACUGUCAAGCUAGAGUGCAGGAGAGGAAGGUAGAAUUCCCGGUGUAGCGGUGAAAUGCGUAGAGAUCGGGAGGAAUACCAGUGGCGAAGGCGGCCUUCUGGACUGACGCUGACACUGAGGUGCGAAAGCGUGGGUAGCAAACAGGAUUAGAUACCCCAGUAGUC
rnacentral:rRNA from 1 species